UACGAAGGGGGCUAGCGUUGCUCGGAAUCACUGGGCGUAAAGCGCACGUAGGCGGCUUUCUAAAUCAGGGGGUGAAAUCCUGGAGCUCAACUCCAGAACUGCCUUUGAUACUGGAGAGCUCGAGUCCGGAAGAGGUGAGUGGAACUCCGAGUGUAGAGGUGAAAUUCGUAGAUAUUCGGAAGAACACCAGUGGCGAAGGCGGCUCACUGGUCCGGUACUGACGCUGAUGUGCGAAAGCGUGGGGAGCAAACAGG
rnacentral:rRNA from 1 species